GAUGAACGCUGGCGGCGUGCCUAAUACAUGCAAGUCGAGCGAACAGACGAGGAGCUUGCUCCUCUGACGUUAGCGGCGGACGGGUGAGUAACACGUGGAUAACCUACCUAUAAGACUGGGAUAACUUCGGGAAACCGGAGCUAAUACCGGAUAAUAUAUUGAACCGCAUGGUUCAAUAGUGAAAGACGGUUUUGCUGUCACUUAUAGAUGGAUCCGCGCCGCAUUAGCUAGUUGGUAAGGUAACGGCUUACCAAGGCGACGAUGCGUAGCCGACCUGUGAGGGUGGUCGGCCACACUGGAGCUGAGACGCGGUCCAGACUCCUACGGGAGGCAGCAGUAGGGAAUCUUCCGCAGUGGGCGAAAGCCUGACGGAGCAACGCCGCGUGAGUGAUGAAGGUCUUCGGAUCGUAAAACUCUGUUAUUAGGGAAGAACAAAUGUGUAAGUAACUAUGCACGUCUUGACGGUACCUAAUCAGAAAGCCACGGCUAACUACGUG
rnacentral:rRNA from 1 species